UUGAACGCUGGCGGCAUGCUUUACACAUGCAAGUCGAACGGUAGACCCUUUCGGGUGUUGAGAGUGGCGAACGGGUGAGUAAUGCAUCGGAACAUACCCAGUCGUGGGGGAUAACGUAGCGAAAGUUACGCUAAUACCGCAUGAGUCCUGAGGGUGAAAGGGGGGGAUCGCAAGACCUCUCGCAGUUGGAGCGGCCGAUGGCGGAUUAGCUAGUUGGUGGGGUAAAGGCCUACCAAGGCGACGAUCCGUAGCUGGUCUGAGAGGACGACCAGCCACACUGGAACUGAGACACGGUCCAGACUCCUACGGGAGGCAGCAGUGGGGAAUUUUGGACAAUGGGGGCAACCCUGAUCCAGCCAUUCCGCGUGAGUGAAGAAGGCCUUCGGGUUGUAAAGCUCUUUCGGCAGGAACGAAACGGUGGAGGCUAAUACCUUUCAUCAAUGACGGUACCUGAAGAAGAAGCACCGGCUAACUACGU
rnacentral:rRNA from 1 species